rnacentral:rRNA from 1 species
CUGCAGCUCAAGUGGUGGCCGCUAUUAUUGGGCCUAAAACGUCCGUAGCCGGUUUAGUAAAUGCCUGGGUAAAUCGUGUAGCUUAACUAUACGACUUCCGGGUAGACUGCUAGACUUGGGACCGGGAGAGGCUAGAGGUACUCCUGGGGUAGAGGUGAAAUUCUGUAAUCCUAGGGGGACCACCAGUGGCGAAGGCGUCUAGCUAGAACGGGUCUGACGGUGAGGGACGAAGCCCUGGGGCGCAAACCGGAUUAGAUACCCGUGUAGUCC